CCUAUUUUUUCUCAUUUUCUCCCAUUAUUGCCCCUCCCCUCUAACACACCGGCCUCCCCGUGAAAACCCUACAACAUGUCUUCACUCUUCAAUUGCAGAUGAAGCGUCUGGACUUCCAGCAGUUUCCAUCGCCCCCUCUGCUCUAUAAUAACUAUACAGGCUAUAGAGAAAAAUAGAGAGUUGGAGAGACAGAGAGAUGGAGCCACUGACGGAGAACAGGAGAAUAUAUAUGAGGGAUCCAGUCGGUGGUUCCGACGACCGUUCUACGGCGGCAUAGCCACCACCACUACGACAACAUCAGAAGCCGAUUCUGUUGUUUUUUCCAUUCUCGGUUCCCUUUGCUUGGUGCUCCGAUUUCAGGAGAGAGCUUGGAUUCCGGCAGCAUCAGGUAUCCAUAUGUCGAGAAAGUGAAACCCGUUACAGAUCUGCAAGUUUGAUUUUGCUAUAAUUUUGAUUAUCAUGUGCAUAUUUUACCUAAGCUGAUUUCAGAUUUGAUUGUGAGAUGAAUGAUUUGGUUACUAUUGUUAUACGAGAAGUCUCUAUCGGCAUUUUGUUCACAGGCUGAUGUUGGUGGUUGGGUCGGUUGGGAUUUGCAUUUAAAAUAAGUGGUAAUAAUCAUGUAAUGUGUAUGAUUUUUGUUAUCAACCCUUUUAUAUCUUGUAGAAACCACUAAGUGGAGCAGAAUCUGUUCAAACUUUUUCAGGAUAGUUUUAAUUUCCACCAUGGACUUAUCUUUUACAUCACUUACAGAACUUGCAGUUUUAUUUUCUUAAAUUGGCAUAUGUUCUGGGUCUGUUAGUGAUUAAAAUGGGUUCCCUGUGUUUUAAUAGGUAAGAAACUUUGUCAAUGCGAUGCUAUAGUUCGACUUUGUAACGCGAAACGAGAACUGUUAUCUCGACUUACUCUGUCAUCUCUAUCGUAAGUCCGUAACCUAGCAUUUUGGUGAAAAAUAUCAGCUAAGCCUACGUUUUUGGGGAAAAUGCCGGCUAAGCCUGCACUUUAAUUGUUGGAACGUUGUCAAUACGAUGCUAUAGUAAAGGAAGAAACCUUGAUUGCAAUAAAAGCCUCUCAUAGAACUACUGUAGAAGUUCCAGAUUCAGAUGAGGUAAGUUUGAAAAGAGACUUAACUCGCAACUAUCUCAGUGGUACCAUCCCUCCAGCAUGGGGUUCCAUGGGGAAGAUUUUAAACGUGUACUUUUUUCUUUAUGUAUAAUCUUUAAUCGUCGGAUUCGGUAUCCAAAAGCUUGUUUUUUUUUUUGCUUAUUUUUGUCCUAUUUGCAGUCCCAACUUUGUAAGUUUUCUUUAAACUUACUUUAAACAUAACUUCAGUGACUUGUUUUGUUGUUUACGGUGUCACUUCUGUUGUUAAUUAGAUCUGUAGAGGACAAUUUGAUGUCUACAACGAUUCCUGACGAGCUUGGGAAUCUUGCAAGCAUCGAGAGAUUGUUUUAACUCUUUUAGUGGGUCGUUGCCUGCAUCGUUUGCGAAUCUGAAUACCAUCAAGGAAUUUCGGAUACAAUUUCUCUGGGAAGAUCCCCGAUUACAUUGGGCGAUGGCAAAGUCUCAAGAGCUUAAGGAUGCAGGCCAGUAGAUUGGAGGGGCCAAUAUCUUGGAGAAUUACUCUUUUGGCGAACUUGUCAGACUUGAGAAUUAGUGACUUGGGAGGAACAGCCGCGCUUUGUCCACCUUUUGUUAACAUGACAUCUUUUAAGACCUUGUGAGUAGUUGAACUUCUUCUUCUAAUGAACCAAUCAUUUAAAACGCCACAUUGCUAAAGGCGGUUGUGCGCCGCAACCUGAUGACCUCUAAGACGGCCCCGGUUAAUGGUGCAGCCAAAGGGCGUUAUAAAAGCUCAGUUGUUUCUUACUAUGUGUUUGGCCUUGGUGUGUGUCGUCAAGAGAAUGCUUGAAUGAUCAUACCACAUCAUUACCUGCUUCACAUGGUUGAACACACGGGGUUCAUGACUUUUGUGCAUAACUUACAGCCGAGUUUCAACCUGGUUAACUUUAAUACGGUUCAAGGUGACUGUGUAGCAACUUAUAUUAGAGAAAAAUAGACCGUUCACAUGGUGAUUAAAGUUUAUUAAGUAACCCAACCAAAAGAUGUUUAGCUUAGAGUUCCAUCUUUGUUCCACAUAGAUGAAUGACGCUUGUAGCAUGUUUCAUUGUUUCAAUUUUUAGUGGUAGAAGCCUACAGUGAGAGUCUGAAAUGAGGUGGGGCAACAUUGUUGAAUCGCUUGUAAUUAUCCAGACGUGAUCUGAUGAAGUGUGAUUUAGCUUACUCGUAAUAUUUACAAUAUUAUGUGAAAUUUAACAUAGCCAAGUGUAAUAUGAAGGGUAUAAGAUGAGUUUAAGUGUAAUGUAAUUAAGUUACUCAUAUAAAUGAAUGUAUAUUGUUUAAGAUUA